GAUGAACGCUGGCGGCGUGCCUAACACACGCAAGUCGAGCGAUCUUCUUCGGAAGAGAGCGGCGGACGGGUGAGUAACGCGUGGGUAACCUGCCCUGUACACACGGAUAACAUACCGAAAGGUAUGCUAAUACGAGAUAAUAUACUUUUAUCGCAUGGUAGAAGUAUCAAAGCCUUUGCGGUACAGGAUGGACCCGCGUCUGAUUAGCUAGUUGGUAAGGUAACGGCUUACCAAGGCGACGAUCAGUAGCCGACCUGAGAGGGUGAUCGGCCACAUUGGAACUGAGACACGGUCCAAACUCCUACGGGAGGCAGCAGUGGGGAAUAUUGCACAAUGGGCGAAAGCCUGAUGCAGCAACGCCGCGUGAGCGAUGAAGGCCUUCGGGUCGUAAAGCUCUGUCCUCAAGGAAGAUAAUGACGGUACUUGAGGAGGAAGCCCCGGCUAACUACGUGCCAGCCGCCGCGGUAA
rnacentral:rRNA from 1 species